rnacentral:rRNA from 1 species
UACAGAGGGGGCGAGCGUUAUUCGGAAUUAUUGGGCGUAAAGGGCGCGUAGGCGGCUUUGCAAGUGACGGGUGAAAUCCCUCGGCUUAACCGAGGAACUGCCUGUCAGACUGUAAGGCUUGAGACCGGGAGAGGUGAGUGGAAUUCCCAGUGUAACGGUGAAAUGCGUAGAUAUUGGGAGGAACACCAGUGGCGAAGGCGGCUCACUGGACCGGUACUGACGCUGAGGCGCGAAAGCGUGGGGAGCAAACAGG